rnacentral:rRNA from 1 species
CUACGGGUUGCAGCAGUGGGGAAUAUUGCACAAUGGGCGCAAGCCUGAUGCAGCCAUGCCGCGUGUAUGAAGAAGGCCUUCGGGUUGUAAAGUACUUUCAGCGGGGAGGAAGGGAGUAAAGUUAAUACCUUUGCUCAUUGACGUUACCCGCAGAAGAAGCACCGGCUAACUCCGUGCCAGCAGCCGCGGUAAUACGGAGGGUGCAAGCGUUAAUCGGAAUUACUGGGCGUAAAGCGCACGCAGGCGGUUUGUUAAGUCAGAUGUGAAAUCCCCGGGCUCAACCUGGGAACUGCAUCUGAUACUGGCAAGCUUGAGUCUCGUAGAGGGGGGUAGAAUUCCAGGUGUAGCGGUGAAAUGCGUAGAGAUCUGGAGGAAUACCGGUGGCGAAGGCGGCCCCCUGGACGAAGACUGACACUCAGGUGCGAAAGCGUGGGGAGCAAACAGGAUUAGAUACCCGUGUAGUC